rnacentral:rRNA from 1 species
GUACACGCUGUGACUAGCAUAUCAAUAAGCGGAGGAAAAGAAACUAACAAGGAUUCCCUCAGUAGCGGCGAGUGAAGCGGGAAGAGCUCAAAUUUGAAAUCUUGAAAGGUCACCUUUCACGAAUUGUAGUUUAAAGAAGUGUUUUCUGUUACGAUCGUAAUAUAAGUUCUUUGGAAUAGGACAUCACAGAGGGUGAGAAUCCCGUCUAUGAUUGCGAUUUGUAGCUUUGUGAUACACUUUCAAAGAGUCGGGUUGUUUGGGAAUGCAGCCCAAAACGGGAGGUAAAUUUCUUCUAAGGCUAAAUAUUGGCGAGAGACCGAUAGCGAACAAGUACCGUGAGGGAAAGAUGAAAAGAACUUUGAAAAGAGAGUUAAAUAGUACGUGAAAUUGUCAAAAGGGAAGCGUUUAACACCAGUGUUGUUUUCUGAAAAUCAACCUCUGUUAGCUUUAUGCAUGUUUGUUUAGACCUAAUCAGCUAUCUUGCAUGUUCUAUUGUUUGCAGUGGUGCACUUUUCAGUUUACAGGUCAACAUCAGUUUUUUUUACCGUAAAAAGUUAAAGAAAGGUAGCUCAUGGCUCCGGUCGUGAGUGUUAUAGUCUUUUUCCUAUGCGGUAGGAGAGACUGAGGUCUGCAGUGUAGGCUAUUUGGCUAGAUACUCAGGUGCUAUGUGAUACCAUUUCAUAAACAACUUGUUGAUUAUGUUUUGUCUAUUGCAUACUCGCUUGUACUAUCAUACCUACGCUUAGGAUGUUGAGUAGCGACAUACGCAC